rnacentral:rRNA from 1 species
AACGAACGCUGGCGGCAGGCUUAACACAUGCAAGUCGAACGCCCCGCAAGGGGAGUGGCAGACGGGUGAGUAACGCGUGGGAACAUACCCUUUUCUACGGAAUAGCUCUGGGAAACUGGAAUUAAUACCGUAUACGCCCUACGGGGGAAAGAUUUAUCGGGGAAGGAUUGGCCCGCGUUGGAUUAGCUAGUUGGUGGGGUAAAGGCCUCCCAAGGCGACGAUCCAUAGCUGGUCUGAGAGGAUGAUCAGCCACAUGGGGACUGAGACACGGCCCAAACUCCUACGGGAGGCAGCAGUGGGGAAUAUUGGACAAUGGGCGCAAGCCUGAUCCAGCCAUGCCGCGUGAGUGAUGAAGGCCUUAGGGUUGUAAAGCUCUUUCACCGAUGAAGAUAAUGACGGUAGUCGGAGAAGAAGCCCCGGCUAACUUCGUGCCAGCUGCCGCAGUAA